UCCAAUCACAGCCUCGUGAAUGCAGAGUCUGUCUGCCGCAGACAUGAGAGGCUUGUGUUAAGUUUGUACAGUAGGAGUGACUCUGUUUUCGGUGUAAAUAACUUGCUGAAGUCGACACGACAUUGUUUCCCUGGAGGAGAAGAUGAGUGCGUGGGAAAGCAAAGCCGCGGGCCCAGUGUGGAGGAGUCGAGGCGGAGAAGAAGGGCGCACAGUCCCUAAAUUAAGGAAGCUCUCCGUCUCUUCACAGCUGUGAUGAAAAUGGCCGGAGGAGCGAGGCCUGAUUCCCGCACACUGAGGCGGUCACUGCACAUUACGCCGAGACUCGUUGAAAGUCCGCAUUUGCAGUGCAGAACAACAACGCCAUUGUACCUGCCUGUACUAUGACGUACUAAGACACACUAUGAGCCAGUAUGAAGGAGCUUCCAGUACAUCCAACCAGACCUUGCAUCAGCAUUGAGGAGUUCAGGAGUUGAACUGUGCUAAUUAUAGUGAUUAUGUUUACAGCUGAUUGAAGCGGGACAGAUGACAUGGAUCCAUCCUUCCACAGCCAGGAGCUCACCGACCUGUGUGCCACACUUCAAAUAAGACUAGAGGCUACACUGGAUCUCACAGCUACACACCACAGACGUCUACACACUGGGGCAGAUUCGGACAGAGUCCCACAAAGAACAUAUGACCCAGAGGCUGCAAAGAUACAUUUCAAGCUUCACCUGAUUAGUUUUUCACUGGCUAGGCCGGUUGUGUUUGUACAAUAUUUGUGCUGUAUGUAAAUAAAGCUUUGACUCAA